UCGACGGUGAAGCCCAGCUUGCUGGGUGGAUCAGUGGCGAACGGGUGAGUAACACGUGAGCAACCUGCCCUCCACUUCGGGAUAAGCCUUGGAAACGGGGUCUAAUACCGGAUAUGAGCUCGCAUCGCAUGGUGUGGGUUGGAAAGUUUUUCGGUGGGGGAUGGGCUCGCGGCCUAUCAGCUUGUUGGUGGGGUGAUGGCCUACCAAGGCGUCGACGGGUAGCCGGCCUGAGAGGGCGACCGGCCACACUGGGACUGAGACACGGCCCAGACUCCUACGGGAGGCAGCAGUGGGGAAUAUGCACAAUGGGCGCAAGCCUGAUGCAGCGACGCCGCGUGAGGGAUGACGGCCUUCGGGUUGUAAACCUCUUUCAGCAGGGAAGAAGCGCAAGUGACGGUACCUGCAGAAGAAGCGCCGGCUAACUACGUGCCAGCAGCCGCGGUAAUACGUAGGGCGCAAGCGUUGUCCGGAAUUAUUGGGCGUAAAGAGCUCGUAGGCGGUCUGUCGCGUCUGGUGUGAAAUCCCGAGGCUCAACCUCGGGCUUGCAUCGGGUACGGGCAGACUAGAGUGCGGUAGGGGAGACUGGAAUUCCUGGUGUAGCGGUGGAAUGCGCAGAUAUCAGGAGGAACACCGAUGGCGAAGGCAGGUCUCUGGGCCGCAACUGACGCUGAGGAGCGAAAGCAUGGGGAGCGAACAGGAUUAGAUACCCUGGUAGUCCAUGCCGUAAACGUUGGGCACUAGGUGUGGGGCUCAUUCCACGAGUUCCGUGCCGCAGCUAACGCAUUAAGUGCCCCGCCUGGGGAGUACGGCCGCAAGGCUAAAACUCAAAGGAAUUGACGGGGGCCCGCACAAGCGGCGGAGCAUGCGGAUUAAUUCGAUGCAACGCGAAGAACCUUACCAAGGCUUGACAUGUACGAGAAAGCCCCCGAGACGGGGUUCUCUUUGGACACUCGUACACAGGUGGUGCAUGGUUGUCGUCAGCUCGUGUCGUGAGAUGUUGGGUUAAGUCCCGCAACGAGCGCAACCCUCGUCCUAUGUUGCCAGCGGGUUAUGCCGGGGACUCAUGGGAGACUGCCGGGGUCAACUCGGAGGAAGGUGGGGAUGACGUCAAAUCAUCAUGCCCCUUAUGUCUUGGGCUUCACGCAUGCUACAAUGGCCGGUACAGAGGGCUGCGAUACCGUAAGGUGGAGCGAAUCCCAAAAAGCCGGUCUCAGUUCGGAUUGGGGUCUGCAACUCGACCCCAUGAAGUCGGAG
rnacentral:rRNA from 1 species